rnacentral:rRNA from 1 species
CUGCUGCCUCCCGUAGGAGUCUGGGCCGUGUCUCAGUCCCAGUGUGGGGGGCCUUCCUCUCAGAACCCCUACGCAUCGUCGCCACGGUGGGCCGUCACCCCGCCGUCUAGCUAAUGCGCCGCAUGCCCAUCCGCCACCGGAUCGCUCCUUUGGCCACCGGAGGAUGCCCUCCGGUGGCGUCACGGGGUAUUAGGCCGCGUUUCCGCGGGUUAUCCCCCUGUGGUGGCCAGGUUGCAUACGUGUUACUCACCCGUGCGCCGGUCGCCGGCGGG